rnacentral:rRNA from 1 species
CAGCCGCCGCGGUAAUACAGAGGAUGCAAGCGUUAUCCGGAAUGAUUGGGCGUAAAGCGUCUGUAGGUGGCUUUUCAAGUCCGCCGUCAAAUCCCAGGGCUCAACCCUGGACAGGCGGUGGAAACUACCAAGCUGGAGUACGAUAGGGGCAGAGGGAAUUUCCAGUGGAGCGGUGAAAUGCGUUGAGAUCGGAAAGAACACCAACGGCGAAAGCACUCUGCUGGGACGACACUGACACUAAGAGACGAAAGCUAGGGGAGCAAAUGGGAUUAGAUACCCCAGUAGCCCUGUCUCUUAUACA